ACGCUCGACACCUACGGGAGGCAGCAGUGGGGAAUAUUGCACAAUGGGGGAAACCCUGAUGCAGCGACGCCGCGUGAGCGAAGAAGUAUUUCGGUAUGUAAAGCUCUAUCAGCAGGGAANAAAAUGACGGUACCUGACUAAGAAGCCCCGGCUAACUACGUGCCACAGCCGCGGUAAUCUGAGGCCGGGCUGGCAAGGC
rnacentral:rRNA from 1 species